GACGAACGCUGGCGGCGUGCUUAACACAUGCAAGUCGAACGGUAAGGCCCUUCGGGGUACACGAGUGGCGAACGGGUGAGUAACACGUGGGUGAUCUGCCCUGCACUUCGGGAUAAGCCUGGGAAACUGGGUCUAAUACCGGAUAGGACAACUGCCUGCAUGGGUGGUGGUGGAAAGCUUUUGCGGUGUGGGAUGGGCCCGCGGCCUAUCAGCUUGUUGGUGGGGUGAUGGCCUACCAAGGCGACGCCGGGUAGCCGGCCUGAGAGGGUGACCGGCCACACUGGGACUGAGAUACGGCCCAGACUCCUACGGGAGGCAGCAGUGGGGAAUAUUGCACAAUGGGCGCAAGCCUGAUGCAGCGACGCCGCGUGAGGGAUGACGGCCUUCGGGUUGUAAACCUCUUUCAGUAGGGACGAAGCGCAAGUGACGGUACCUACAGAGGAAGGACCGGCCAACUACGUGCCAGCAGCCGCAGUAA
rnacentral:rRNA from 1 species